CAGCCGCCGCGGUAAUACAGAGGGUGCGAGCGUUAAUCGGAUUUACUGGGCGUAAAGCGUGCGUAGGCGGCUUUUUAAGUCGGAUGUGAAAUCCCUGAGCUUAACUUAGGAAUUGCAUUCGAUACUGGGAAGCUAGAGUAUGGGAGAGGAUGGUAGAAUUCCAGGUGUAGCGGUGAAAUGCGUAGAGAUCUGGAGGAAUACCGAUGGCGAAGGCAGCCAUCUGGCCUAAUACUGACGCUGAGGUACGAAAGCAUGGGGAGCAAACAGGAUUAGAUACCCGAGUAGUCCCUGUCUCUUAUAU
rnacentral:rRNA from 1 species